rnacentral:rRNA from 1 species
UACGAAGGGGCUAGCGUUGUUCGAUUGAUCUGGGCGUAAAGCGCACGUAGGCGGAUCGUUAAGUCGGGGGUGAAAUCCUGGAGCUCAACUCCAGAACUGCCUUCGAUACUGGCGAUCUUGAGUCCGGAAGAGGUGAGUGGAACUCCUAGUGUAGAGGUGGAAUUCGUAGAUAUUAGGAAGAACACCAGUGGCGAAGGCGGCUCACUGGUCCGGUACUGACGCUGAGGUGCGAAAGCGUGGGGAGCAAACAGG